rnacentral:rRNA from 1 species
CCUACGGGAGGCAGCAGUAGGGAAUAUUGGGCAAUGGACGAAAGUCUGACCCAGCCACGCCGCGUGAAGGAUGACUGCCCUAUGGGUUGUAAACUUCCUUUGUAUGGGAAGAACCCUCCGAACGUGUUCGGAGCUGACGGUACCAUAAGAAUAAGCAUCGGCUAACUCCGUGCCAGCAGCCGCGGUAAU